rnacentral:tRNA from 1 species
CAAAGUGUAGCUUAACUAAAAGCACCCGGCCUACACCCGGGAGAUAUCAUACAUAUUGACCACUUUGA